UACGUAGGGUGCACGCGUUGUCCGGAAUUAUUGGGCGUAAAGAGCUCGUAGGCGGUCUGUUACGUCGGCUGUGAAAACCUGGGGCUCAACUCCGGGCCUGCAGCCGAUACGGGCAGACUAGAGUUCGGCAGGGGAGACUGGAAUUCCUGGUGUAGCGGUGAAAUGCGCAGAUAUCAGGAGGAACACCGGUGGCGAAGGCGGGUCUCUGGGCAACAACUGACGCUGAGGAGCGAAAGCGUGGGGAGCGAACAGG
rnacentral:rRNA from 1 species